CCAGCGGGAGGAGGCUACUGCGGUCCGCAGAGGCCGGCUCUGGUCUCUAGUCCCCGUGCCUGCGCGCCCCCCUCCCCACGCGAUGCCCCCCGGGCGGCUGGAAAAGGACUCUGGGGCAGACUCCAGACCUGGGAGGGUGCGGCCGGGCUCAUGCGGGACUCUUGAGCGGGAGGGAGGCCGUCCCGUUCCACGUUGCUGCCGGGGUGCAGCGGGCAGCGCUCCAGGGCCCAGCGGUCCGCCCCUCCCAGCCCCCCUCCCUCCUCGAGGGUCGGGGCACAGAGGAGGCAGACACCCCUGAGGCCUUGUGCCAGGUAAUUACCAAGCAAAUUCCGGGCGAUCUCCUCCCCUCCCCCGCGGCAGUGCCUGCUGCGCGUUCCCUGAUUCGGGCCCCGGCUGCGCCACCAGCGCAGGUAACCUGCGGGGCCCCUUAAUUGCUCUGGAGUUGCCCCGGUCUGCGCAAGAUUCAUGAAGGGAUGUGAGACUGGGGCCAAGUUCCUGGAGACAGGCUCCACACUGGUCCUGAGAGAAGAAGCAGAAGAUUUCAGCGAGAGGGACAGAAUUUAAAAGGACGACUUCCCCAUUUCUUCCUGCUCCUCUGGAUCUUAUACAUCUUUCAACAUUCAGCUCAAGGCCCAUGUGGCCUGGGAGGCCUUCCAGUACCAGCUUGGGGAAGGCAGGAGACCACACCUGUGUUUGUAAUAUCACAGACAUGCUGGGAUCCGCAAAUGUGUCAUUAGCCCACCGGGUUGGCACGGAACAGCUGCAUCUGAAGUUCUGAGGAGGACUGGCCAGGCAUGCUGUAAAACGACCCUCAGAUGUGAUCUGUCUGAUGCUUUUCUUCUGGUUAGCCUGGAGUUCUGGGUUUGGGGGAGGAAGACCGCAGAGGCAAAGUGCCAUUUUCAUCACGUCACAUCACUGGCAUAUCACAGCACUGGCCAUCGUUAGAAUGCACACGUGUGAAGCCAGCUCCAGAGCCCUUUGAUGAUGGGGCUACAUCCCUUCCCGGCAUCUGCUUGCUUCCACACAUGCAGGUGCCAUCUCUCUCCCAUCUCUCCUGAUUCCAGAUCAUCUGACCCUGAUUCCCCAAAUGAAGCCCCUGUCCAAAAUUGGUCCCAUGGCUACUCAGAUUGUAUGAGAACCCACAAGGAAAUUUCUCCUUUCAAGGCAUUUCAAGAUAAAGGAAGCUCAUGAAAAGUUCCAGAUAAAGAUGCAGGAUGCUGAAGAAUCAAUAACAUUUAUUGAGUGCUUACUAAGUGCCAGGCACUGUUCUAAAUGUUUUACAUGCAAAGCUCACUUAACAGGGAGAAGGUCCUGCUGCCGGGACAGCCAAGCCCCCAUAGGCCGCUCCACAUACUUCUGUGCAGGCUGACAAAAUGCAAGAAGGUACCUGUGCAAACAUGGCUUUUCAUCAUGGUCAGGAAGACACAUGACCACUGGGUCCAUUUCAAUGACUUCAUCCAUUGUGCUCAACCUCCUGACUCUGCCCCUAUAGCUAUUUUGACAUUCAUUCACAUACUAGCCAAAGCUUUCCUGUCCCCACUACCUCCAUGUAGGCUGCAGCUGGAUAAACCAUCACUUACACCCAUUUUCUGGAAAGCUCUUCUUUGGGCAAGUGCUCAUUGAGUUUCUGAGAAAAGCUGCCAUGGGGGCCAACGUACCACCUAGGGAAGAAACCCAUCAGCAAGGACAGGCUCGGAGCUCCCCAGAACAGCGUCUGAUUGUCAUAAUGUCAUGUUGGAGAAACGAUAACCUUACCCUGCUUAAAGAGAAACCUCUUGCGUGUCACCAACAAUCAUGCAAACUAGACUCUUAAAAUGAGAUUAGGUCAAAGUACAACCAAUCAAAGUGGGAGUCUCAGUCGCUCUAUGACUUCAUUUAAAGUUUCAGUGCCAGCAGGAAGAAGAAAGAAAUCAAUAUUACAUUUUCUUCAUCAUCAAUUUUGCUUUUUGCUAAAUGAAAAUGCUUUCAUUCCCUCCCUGGUUCCUUCCACCAUGGAAGAUGUUCCUCGUCUCCUCCCCACUCUCCCCCGUUACUAUCUUCACCCCCAUCCUGUUAUGCCAUGUAGGACAGUGCCGUACGUGUGCCUUUUUGGACUAAGCACUUAAGAGUAUUGCAGAGGAUGUCAUCUUAAUUCACCAAAGAUUUGCGAGUAUGACAGUCCUCGCUCAGCUGGCCUUCCUGCUGCAGCUGGGCUCUGACCGUGUUCUGCUCUAUGGAUGGAGCGUGGAUAACUUACUCCAAACAGCUCUUGAGGCCCCAAGGGCACAUCCCCCCUCAAUGCCCUGUGCCAGGCUGUAGUACCAGACCCUGUAGAAGGGAAUUUGAUAGGCAAGGUGAGCCCUUCUUGGAUUCAUUCACGGGCUUGGGUUACAGAAGCAGCAAAGGGACCUCAUUAUAAGAUGUUCUCACCUGCUCCGUUACAGAAGAACUGUAAGGCUUUUGCUGAACAACACAGUGGUCUCGUUCCCACAGUGGUCCCCACAGCAGUGACCUUCAAGGGCUCUCAACCAGCUCCCACUCUAUUGGCGCUAAGAUGGUCCCAAUCCAGGACUUGACUCACUCGGCAGUAUUUGCGAAGAGAGACAGAAACAAGAAUUUUGCAAUAGAGGAAGGAAAAAAUAAUACAAGUCCACGGGGCUGGAAACUCAUUUCCUGAGGAGUAGAAACACAUCGCAUGCUCUCUGGGACUCACCGAGCUCCAGGAAGCUCGACCAGUCACUUAAUAAGUCAUUGAGGACGUGUGGUUUAAUUAACUCGCCCAAAAUUCCUCCUUUCCCUUUCUCACUUUUGCUAUUAAUAUUUUUCGAUAUCUGAUAAUGCAGUGUAGUUAAUUCUUUCUGGCUUUAUAAUGAACACUGCCAUAAUGAAAAAGGUUAGCAGUGCUUCAGGCAGCUUUUAAUUAUCCAGCCGAGCAGGUAAAAGCACUUUAUUCUUCUCUUUUUUUCCCCUUACUUAGCAAUUAAUGGAGGAGCUCAGUGGCACUUACUGUACCUUUUUUGUUUUCUAAUGGAUGAUGCGGCACGGAGCAGGGAGGCCUUACUGUACCCCUGUUACUACCAAGUGCAAACGCUGGAUGUUGCACUGCUGCGAUUCAGGUCUCUGGUUUGCGGGGCGGAAGCAAUUCUGCUGCCGGCUGAAGGCUUCUCUAAUUAAAAAGCCGAGUUACCUGGAGUUGUUGCUACCAAUUCCCUGUCUCGCAGUUUCCUGUCUUUGCAUCUGCACCCAGAGCCCUCCAGAAUGCUUUUAUAGGCCAGGUGGCCUUGCUUUAUGGCAGACAUUUUCCUGGUUCUACUCAAUUGGGCCACCUUCCUUCUAUCCUCCCUGCCCGCCACGGCGAACAACAGCCUUGGGAUUGUUCUCCUUACUUUAUAGACAGGGAAACUGAGGCCCAAGGAGGUUGUCUGCUUGGCCAAGAGCCCUUUCCUUCCGUGCUUAAUGACGCCCAUCCUCGAGCUAACUGUGAUACCCCCUUAUAGGAGGAAAGAGUUUAAAAAUUAUGUGAGCUGCUUCGAAGUUUACUAAUCCAUAAAGUCACAGGGAGCAGAUUUUUAUUACAGGUGGAAUUAUCUGCAUGAUUCCUCUUCAUUAGGCAACAAUAUAAAACAAAACAAAAAAAUUGUUCAGGGAGCGUAUGUCACAUCUUUCUGUGGGUUGAGAAAGGCUGACUGUCCCACAGACUGCAUAUUCUGGUCCCUUUAGAGGGGCUGGACCAAGCUUUAUAAGAGUCCAGGGCCUUCUGAAGAAGAAGGGAUAGAUAGAGACCCCACACCCUCUAAGGUCUAGAGUGGGGACAAUCUCAAGGUGUACCCGUGGUCCUGUGCAAAGUCUAUCUGAAGGGAGGGAUGCCAGAAGCAUUAGGCGGGAAUAUCCCAGGGAUCAAGGGCAACCAGAGCUAGUGAUCUGGGCUUGACCCCAAACUGCUGGGUUUCUGGAGUGGGCCAGCAGCUACACUUGCCUGGCAAUGUACGCUGGGAAUGAGGACCGGCAUCUGAGAAAUGAAGAGAGAUCACUGUUAGGGCGGGAGCCCUUUGGAAGGUGGUUUACGAUGUGACAUCACUCAGGGUACUUGUCUAAUUGUCUCUGUUUUCCAGUAUCUCUUUAGGGAUAAGCUUUGAAAAAAGGGGAGAUAAAAGGUAAAUUUUGGAGCAUCAUUUGUGCCAAAUAUUCGCUCCAUUCUCUUCCCACCCACAUUCUAGGUUCACAAACUUCCGGCCAGAAAAAAAAUCUCACCAGUGCCGCUGUGGCAAUAGGACUUGAACAUUGAACUCAUCAGAUCCUUGUUACACCCCAUGAGGUUUUGGCUGCUUGUGGUCCCCUUCAUGUCAUCUUAACUUAGUUGGGGUUAAAAUUAUCACUCACUUUUAUUGCCAGUGCAAACUUUAAGCAGUAGCAAUGGCAGUGUUGGAUAUGGAAACUUGUCUAUAGGCAGCAAGAAAUGGUCAGACCUCCAAAUCUACCAGGCUCAAUAGCCACCUGAGUUUUAGGGAGAAUUCUAGAAUAUUACCUUGCAGCUCAGCAGGUCCCAUUGUGACCUCACGCCCACAGGGGUGGGUUAGACUAGUCUUCAGCUACCAACAUGACAAGGCUGGUGGAGAGAGCUCACCUUCCAGUCCUCCACUCAACAUCUGGGGACAGAAUUGGCCCCAGGGGACUCCAUUUCACAGAGGUUCUUGGGCAACUUGGGGGAGGGUUGGUAGCUUGAGGAUAUGCUGGCUUUUCUGUAAGUACUCAAGUGGAUGAUAUCUGUCAAAACACUUAUUUUAUAUUUGAAAAGCACUUUGAAGUUUUCAAAACAAUUGCAGAACCAUUAUCACACCUGAUUCAAGUAACACUUUCAAGUGUCGUGAAAAUACUCCCCAUUUUACAGAUGAAAAAGUCAGAGCAAUAGAGGUCACUUCCCUCUUUAGAGCGGUGUUUCUUAAGAAAAGGUGGUUCUGCCCCCCAGGGAAUACGUGGAAAUGUUCUGAGAUAUUUUAACUCCUGGGUGGCAGGGGAGAUGCCGUGCUACUGGCAUCUAGUGGGUAGAGGCCAGAGAUGCUGUUAAACAUCUUGUAAUGCACAAGACAGCCCCCCAAGACAAUGAUCUGGCCAAAAGUAUUGACAGCCUGGAACUGGAGAAACCCUGAUCUAAUGGCAUGCAGAUAGGGAAACCAAGGCUUUGGGUGGUUAAGCAAUGUGUUCAAGGCUACACAGCUAGAAGUAAAGUGUCCUGACUUCCCAACAGAGUUCCUGGCACACAAUAAGUUUUCAAUAUAUAAUAGUUAAGUAAAUGGGUGGGUUUAUGGAUGGGCGAGGGAAGAAUGGAUGGAUGGAUCGACCAAUGACAGGUGGACAAGUACACGAUAGAACUAAGGCGUCUGGAAGAGAUGGAGAGGUCAGGCAGGG